UUAGUAUGAUCCUGGGUACAUUAUGUCUCUGCAGCACUAUUUCUGCUCUUACUAAGAGGCAGAUGAACUUGGAUAAUAACUACAGGGGCCAAAUUCUGCUCUUUGUUGUACCAGUGUAAAUAGGGAGUAACUCCAUUGACUUCCACCAGUUUGAAAAUAUUCUAUCAUUUGAUUGCUGCUACUUCUGACUUGUGUACAAAGACAGGGGGAGUAGAUGCAUCUCUGGUGUGAUGCCACUGAUGUCAAUGGACCUAGGGGCACAAGAGAAAACCCAACAUGAAGAUGAACUUGGCUCCUGCUCUCCACAGUUUUGCAAAAGCACUUUCUUCAACAAAUAGACAAAUGGACUCAAAUUACUUCAGUGUUCAAGAGGCCGUUAGAAUCUUUUCCAGGACUUGGAACACUAAUGGCAUUUGAAAAUUGAAAGAUGCAUAUGGUAGCCAGAAUGAUCUGAUUUAUCAAGAGGGCCCAGUGCUUGGACAAGGUGAACUCCUGGACAAAGAACAGCUGGCUGAAGCUGAACCUGACACUGAAGCACACUGCAGUGGUGCUGUGGUCCAUGGAUGGGCAGUGGCACUUGUGACAGUUGCAGCCCAUGGAGCUAACUUAGCUUUUUAUUUUAUUUGCUAUCAAUUGGCAAUCAAUACAAUUAUUAAUCAUUAAAGAAUCAGACUACACAGUUCUGUCCAUGGCAUUGUCAUAUGGAUAAUGUGACCACUCACCAACAAAGUGCACAGGUUCUGUACAUGCAUUGUACGCUCCUCCUGUAUCUGGCAUACUGUUCACAUUCACUGCUUUUCCUCAGCUGUAAUUAUUAAGUGUCCAACUCCCCUUCACCCAUCACUGUGAUGACAGAGAGGCUGGCACCCUCAAGUGUUCCAGGAGCUGCUCUGUUCCCUUCCUGAGCAGAGCAGCUGUGUUGGCCAGGAGACGAUAUAGGCCCAGGGGUCAUGGGCUGCCAUCAGAUACAGGGCAUUCCUGAUUUCUUCAGGCAUUUGGUUUAGGGUAACUUCUGGGAGGCUGUCCAGAGGCUGUGGUCUGGCACCACAUUGAGCCUGCAGAAGAAGGUUAUGGCAUUG